rnacentral:rRNA from 1 species
AAUCAACGCUGGCGGCGUGCCUAACACAUGCAAGUCGAACGAGAAAGUGGAGCAAUCCAUGAGUAAAGUGGCGCACGGGUGAGUAACACGUGACUAACCUACCCUUGAGUGGGGGAUAACCUAGGGAAACCUGGGCUAAUACCGCAUAACACCUACGGGUCAAAGGAGCAAUUCGCUUUAGGAGGGGGUCGCGGCAGAUUAGUUAGUUGGCGGGGUAAUGGCCCACCAAGACGAUGANCUGUAUCCGGCCUGAGAGGGCGCACGGACACACUGGAACUGAAACACGGUCCAGACUCCUACGGGAGGCAGCAGUGGGGAAUUUUGCGCAAUGGGGAAACCCGUGACGCAGCAACGCCGCGUGGAGGAUGAAGACCCUUGGUCGUAAACUCCUUUCGAUCGGGACGAUAAUGACGGUACCGGAA